rnacentral:rRNA from 1 species
UUUGAUCAUGGCUCAGGAUGAACGCUAGCGGCAGGCUUAAUACAUGCAAGUCGUGGGGCAGCAGGUCUGUAGCAAUACAGAUGCUGGCGACCGGCAAACGGGUGCGGAACACGUACACAACCUUCCUUUAAGUGGGGAAUAGCCCGGGGAAACCCGGAUUAAUACCCCGUAACAUAUUGAAAAGGCAUCUUUUUAAUAUUAAAGCUCCGGCGCUUAAUGAUGGGUGUGCGCCUGAUUAGGUAGUUGGCGGGGUAACGGCCCACCAAGCCUUCGAUCAGUAACUGGUGUGAGAGCACGACCAGUCACACGGGCACUGAGACACGGGCCCGACUCCUACGGGAGGCAGCAGUAAGGAAUAUUGGUCAAUGGACGCAAGUCUGAACCAGCCAUGCCGCGUGGAGGAUGAAGGUCCUCUGGAUUGUAAACUUCUUUUAUCUGGGACGAAAAAGGGUCUUUCUAGACCAACUGACGGUACCAGAUGAAUAAGCACCGGCUAACUCCGUGCCAGCAGCCGCGGUAAUACGGAGGGUGCAAGCGUUAUCCGGAUUCACUGGGUUUAAAGGGUGCGUAGGUGGGUCUGUAAGUCAGUGGUGAAAUCCCCGAGCUUAACUUGGGAACUGCCAUUGAUACUAUCAGUCUUGAAUACCGUGGAGGUCAGCGGAAUAUGUCAUGUAGCGGUGAAAUGCUUAGAUAUGACAUAGAACACCAAUUGCGAAGGCAGCUGGCUACACGAAUAUUGACACUGAGGCACGAAAGCGUGGGGAUCAAACAGGAUUAGAUACCCUGUUAGUCCACGCCCUAAACUAUGGAAUACUCGACAUACGCGAUAAACUGUGUGUGUCUGAGCGAAAGCAUAAAGUACCCCACCUGGGAAGUACGAUCGCAAGAUUGAAACUCAAAGGAAUUUGGCGGGGGCCCGCAC